AUUGAACGCUGGCGGCAUGCCUUACACAUGCAAGUCGAACGGCAGCACGGGAGCAAUCCUGGUGGCGAGUGGCGAACGGGUGAGUAAUAUAUCGGAACGUGCCCAGUCGUGGGGAUAACGUAGCGAAAGCUACGCUAAUACCGCAUACGAUCUAUGGAUGAAAGCGGGGGAUCGCAAGACCUCGCGCGAUUGGAGCGGCCGAUAUCAGAUUAGGUAGUUGGUGAGGUAAAGGCUCACCAAGCCGACGAUCUGUAGCUGGUCUGAGAGGACGACCAGCCACACUGGGACUGAGACACGGCCCAGACUCCUACGGGAGGCAGCAGUGGGGAAUUUUUGGGACAAUGGGCGCAAGCCUGAUCCAGCAAUGCCGCGUGCAGGAUGAAGGCCU
rnacentral:rRNA from 1 species